rnacentral:rRNA from 1 species
UACAGAGGGGGCAAGCGUUAUUCGGAAUCACUGGGCUUAAAGCGCGUGUAGGCGGGAGGGCACGUCCGUCGCUGAAAUCCCCCGGCUCAACCGGGGAACGGGCACGGAUACGACCUUCCUGGAGGGGCGUAGGGGGACCUGGAACUUCCGGUGGAGCGGUGAAAUGCGUUGAGAUCGGAAGGAACGCCCGUGGCGAAAGCGAGGUCCUGGACGCCUACUGACGCUGAGACGCGAAAGCGUGGGGAGCGAACAGG